AGAGUUUGAUCCUGGCUCAGGAUGAACGCUAGCGGCAGGCUUAAUACAUGCAAGUCGUGGGGCAGCAUGUCCCGCAGCAAUGCGGGAUGAUGGCGACCGGCAAACGGGUGCGGAACACGUACACAACCUUCCUUUUAGUGGGGAAUAGCCCGGGGAAACCCGGAUUAAUACCCCGUAAUAUAAUGGAGUGGCAUCACUUUAUUAUUAUAGCAGCAAUGCGCUUAAAGAUGGGUGUGCGACUGAUUAGGCAGUUGGCGGGGUAACGGCCCACCAAACCUACGAUCAGUAACUGGUGUGAGAGCACGACCAGUCACACGGGCACUGAGACACGGGCCCGACUCCUACGGGAGGCAGCAGUAAGGAAUAUUGGUCAAUGGACGCAAGUCUGAACCAGCCAUGCCGCGUGGAGGAUGAAGGUCCUCUGGAUUGUAAACUUCUUUUAUCUGGGAAGAAAUCCACGAAUUCUUUUGUGGUUGACGGUACCAGAUGAAUAAGCACCGGCUAACUCCGUGCCAGCAGCCGCGGUAAUACGGAGGGUGCAAGCGUUAUCCGGAUUCACUGGGUUUAAAGGGUGCGUAGGUGGGCAGGUAAGUCAGUGGUGAAAUCUCCGGGCUUAACUCGGAAACUGCCAUUGAUACUAUCUGUCUUGAAUACCGUGGAGGUCAGCGGAAUAUGUCAUGUAGCGGUGAAAUGCUUAGAUAUGACAUAGAACACCAAUUGCGAAGGCAGCUGGCUACACGAAUAUUGACACUGAUGCACGAAAGCGUGGGGAUCAAACAGGAUUAGAUACCCUAGUAGUCC
rnacentral:rRNA from 1 species